UACGAAGGGGGCUAGCGUUGCUCGGAAUCACUGGGCGUAAAGGGUGCGUAGGCGGGUCUUUAAGUCAGGGGUGAAAUCCUGGAGCUCAACUCCAGAACUGCCUUUGAUACUGAGGAUCUUGAGUUCGGGAGAGGUGAGUGGAACUGCGAGUGUAGAGGUGAAAUUCGUAGAUAUUCGCAAGAACACCAGUGGCGAAGGCGGCUCACUGGCCCGAUACUGACGCUGAGGCACGAAAGCGUGGGGAGCAAACAGGAUUAGAAACCCUAGUAGUCC
rnacentral:rRNA from 1 species